UAAGGGUAAGUUUUAUAAUACAGGUGUGUCUAGCCUGAGAGGUAGCCUUAA
rnacentral:tRNA from 1 species